rnacentral:misc_RNA from 1 species
AAGUCGUAACAAGGUUUCCGUAGGUGAACCUGCGGAAGGAUCAUUACCAAAUCCAAAUACCCAAACCCCAUGUGAACUUUUUGUAUAGUCUGUCUUUGGGAGAAAAAGAAAAGCAUUUUUCUUUUUUUCCCAAUAGAGUCCGGCAUAACUUUAUUGUUGUGUCCAGAUUCGAAAACCCCCCCUUUUUUUUUAAACCACUUGAUCUUAUUGUUGGAAUUUUUCUUUUAUUAAUUUUAAAUAAAAGACAACUUUUAACGGUGGAUCUCUUGGCUCGUG